UUUUGCGUUCUCCGGUCUUUCAGGCUCGGUGGAAGAUGGUCAAGUCAGAACGUACCGAUUGUAGCUGUUGCUUUAAACUACACUGGGUCGUUGUACAUUCAAGCCUAGCACUGCGCAGCAUUAUUUUCAGCGUCAAACCGCUUAAUGUUUUCAGAGCCGCAUUCACAUAAAUUAGCAGCGCGCCAGGCUGACAGCACGCUGUGGACGGGCAGAUUUUCUUCGCGUUCACUAACUCGUAACCAAAGAAAAAAUACAAUUUAGCUACCCGUGUGAUGUGACACCAACCCGUCGUAGCAAACUUCUGUCAACUUGCUACUGAGACUGAAUGUGUUUGACUUGCAUAGAGUGGUCAUAAUAUGGAUUAUGUGUAUAAUCCGUUUUUUACGCAAACCAACCUGUUGCAAAUUUAACAUGAAUAGCCCAUAGUCUACAUAAUAUUGUCUUGUCCAUUGUUUUGUUAUUUUAAGAAAACCAACACAAAUGUAUCAGUGUUUGUGUAUUCAUUUGAGAGUUCAAUUCACUUGCUAGAAAUAAGCGCAUCAGAACUUCCCAGUUUAUUCUCAUUUAGCAGCCUGGGGCACCUGUGGCUCAGAACACAUUUCAUGAUCUGAGGGGUGGAGCCUUUGGUUACUUCACCACAGACCCUGUGGUAUAAAGUAGGCAAAGGCUCCACCUCUCAGUGAUCACCUAGGUGAGGACUCAAAGAGAAACCUGCACAUACAGAGAGUACCUCAAGACAAAACAUUCCUAUGAGGCAGACGCCAGUACCAGUAUGGCAGAAUUCAUCAAGAAGACGGUGUUGGAUGAAACCCCCAGUAAAAGGGGAUAAAAAGGUUACGUUCUAUGUUUGGAGAGGUGUUCAACCAUUGUUUUUUAGAAGGUGUACUCCCAUGACUUAAAGCCAGCCAGCUGACCCUGCGCAGCAGUUAGACAGUUCUAUGUCUCAGUUACGUUCUAUGUUUGGAGAGGUGUUCAACCAUUGUUUUUUAGAAGGUGUACUCCCAUGACUUAAAGCCAGCCAGCUGACCCUGCGCAGCAGUUAGACAGUUCUAUGUUUCAGUUACGUUCUAUGUUUGGAGAGGUGUUCAACCAUUGUUUUUUAGAAGGUGUACUCCCAUGACUUAAAGCCAGCCAGCUGACCCUGCGCAGCAGUUAGACAGUUCUAUGUCUCAGUGAGUAUUGUGGAUAUUUUAGCAUCUCUUUUUCACUCAAGGCUUCAUGUGAUGUGAGGUUGUUCAAUCAUGACAAAUUCAGUGUGUUUUCUGUAGAGGUUUUAUAACAAUGUGCAGCAUUUGUGUGUGUGCGUUCCGCAGCCUUUUUAAAGUAGUACUGCAAUGGUGAUCAAUGGUUGUGAUGCAGCUUGGUGGUUGUAUUAGGGACUGGUCGUGUGUGCAUUAGCAGGGCGGCCGUGGGGGAGUAUACGGGGGCCAGUUCUGGUGGGCUGGUCUGGAUCAAAGUCCUGGGCUGUUUUUUUACUCCCAGUCGAUCCCUGACUGUAUGUAAGGUAUUGUCAUAAAACAUUUAAUUAUAAUGAUAACAUUCACCUAGGAAUUCACUUGUUGAAGGCCACAAGGCUAAAAAUGAUCAAAUUCAACAACCAUAUCCAUGUUACUAACAAAUAUAGUCAUGGGUGCUACAAUUCACUCGAAAAGGCAAGGCCACAGGGAAAUUAUAUUGGGGCUUAUUUUUUAUUCACCUCAAAUGUGAACUCCCUACAGGAUCACAGUGACUCUAUCGGUUUA